rnacentral:rRNA from 1 species
UACGUAGGUGGCGAGCGUUGUCCGGAAUUACUGGGUGUAAAGGGCGUGUAGGCGGGAAGACAAGUCAGAUGUGAAAUACCGGGGCUUAACUCCGGGGCUGCAUCUGAAACUGUUUUUCUUGAGUGUCGGAGAGGAAAGCGGAAUUCCCAGUGUAGCGGUGAAAUGCGUAGAUAUUGGGAGGAACACCAGUGGCGAAGGCGGCUUUCUGGACGACAACUGACGCUGAGGCGCGAAAGCGUGGGGAGCAAACAGGAUUAGAUACCCCGGUAGUCC